CCCAGCGCCACAAGUGGCACCCAGCUUUAUUUGGUCUAAAGCGUCCGUAGCUGGUCUAGCAAAUGCCAUGUGAAAUGGUUGCGCUCAACGUAACCACGUGCAAGGUAGACUACUAGACUUGGGACCAGGAGAGGCCAACGGUAUUCUGUGGGGAGCGGUAAAAUGCUAUAAUCCACGGAGGACCACCGAUGGCGAAGGCAGUUGGCCAGAAUGGAUCCGACAGUGAGGGACGAAAGCUAGUGGAGC
rnacentral:rRNA from 1 species